rnacentral:sRNA from 2 species
AUUAGCAGCUUCUAGGGUUCCGAUUUGAACAAAAAAUCUAAUUAAGUUUAGAAAAAUCAAGUGCUGGUCCAAGAGAAGCAAACUGGCAAGCCUAAAUAUUUAAUUUUAAGGAAUAACUAGCCAGUUACACGGCGGGAGAAAAGCCCGGGAGGA